rnacentral:rRNA from 1 species
GACGAACGCUGGCGGCGUGCUUAACACAUGCAAGUCGAGCGAUGAAGUUCCUUCGGGAAUGGAUUAGCGGCGGACGGGUGAGUAACACGUGGGUAACCUGCCUCAUAGAGGGGAAUAGCCUUCCGAAAGGAAGAUUAAUACCGCAUAAGAUUGUAGUACCGCAUGGUAUAGCAAUUAAAGGAGUAAUCCGCUAUGAGAUGAACCCGUGUCGCAUUAGUUAGUUGGUGAGGUAACGGCUCAACAAGGCGACGAUGCGUAGCCGACCUGGGAGGGUGGUCAGCCACAGUGGGACUGAGACACGGCCCAGACUCCUACGGGAGGCAGCAGUGGGGAAUAUUGCACAGUGGGGGAAACCCUGAUGCAGCAACGCCGCGUGAGUGAUGAAGGUCUUCGGAUUGUAAAACUCUGUCUUCAGGGACGAUAAUGACGGUACCUGAGGAGGAAGCCACGGCUAACUACGUGCCAGCCGCCGCAGUAAGAC